rfam:complete chromosome Acholeplasma palmae.
UCAUUAGCAAUGAUUAAGAGGAGUAGUAAUACUUUUAUCUAAAGAGAGUCUGUGGCAGGUGUAAACAGAUGUUAAAAGAUUAUGAAGGCUACCUUAGGAGCUAAAAGUAAAUCGGCUUUAACGAUAAACAUAAGGGCUAUAACAUCAGUUAUAGAACUAAGGUGGUACCGCGAAUUUUAUUCGUCCUUAGA